UACGUAGGGUGCAAGCGUUGUCCGGAAUUAUUGGGCGUAAAGAGCUCGUAGGCGGUUUGUCGCGUCUGCUGUGAAAACUCGGGGCUUAACCCCGGGCCUGCAGUGGGUACGGGCAGACUAGAGUGCGGUAGGGGAGACUGGAAUUCCUGGUGUAGCGGUGGAAUGCGCAGAUAUCGGGAGGAACACCGGUGGCGAAGGCGGUUCUCUGGGCCUUACCUGACGCUGAGGAGCGAAAGCGUGGGGAGCGAACAGG
rnacentral:rRNA from 1 species